UCUCAAGUGGGAUGGUGAGAAAACAAGAA
rnacentral:piRNA from 1 species